rnacentral:rRNA from 1 species
UGGUGGGGUAAUGGCCCACCAAGCCUACGACGGGUAGCCGGCCUGAGAGGGUGGUCGGCCACAAGGGCACUGAGACACGGGCCCUACUCCUACGGGAGGCAGCAGUGGGGAAUCUUGGACAAUGGGCGAAAGCCUGAUCCAGCGACGCCGCGUGGGGGAUGAAGCCCUUCGGGGUGUAAACCCCUGUUGCGAGGGAGGAAUAAGGCCUGGAGGAAAUGCCAGGCCGAUGACUGUACCUCGCGAGGAAGCCCCGGCUAACUACGUGCCAGCAGCCGCGGUAAUACGUAGGGGGCGAGCGUUACCCGGAUUCACUGGGCGUAAAGCGGGUGUAGGCGGCUCGGUAAGUCGGGUGUGAAAUCCCACAGCUCAACUGUGGAAUUGCGCCCGAAACUGCUGAGCUUGGGGCCGGUAGAGGGAGACGGAACUGCCGGUGUAGGGGUGAAAUCCGUAGAUAUCGGCAGGAACGCCGGUGGGGAAGCCGGUCUCCUGGGCCGCGCCCGACGCUGAGACCCGAAAGCUAGGGGAGCAAACCGGAUUAGAU